rnacentral:tRNA from 1 species
AAGGCUGCGAGGCAAAUCUGGUCUAGGCUACGUGGCUUGGGCCCACGUGAUCGCCGGUUCAAAUCCGGCCAGCCCCACCA